CAUUUGUUUUAGUAAUGAACAUUUUAUAAUGUGCUCAUCACCUCUCUUCUGCUUCAGAUUAUCUGCAUAGUCUUAUGAGAUUGGUCAAGCUAUUCUCACAUAGAUCUCUGCAGUGUCUAACAGCAGGGGAGAGCUCCUUGAUCCUGGAGUCUACGCGUUACUUCCCCAACCCAGAACUUAUCUGCCCCCUUUAGCAUCAAAGAACAACCCCCUUUCCUUAACAACAGACAAAUAGCAAGACCAUCAGUGUUGGGCUCCACAGAAUCCUUGGUGCAUAACAAUGAGGGAUUCACACCUAUAGUCCAAUCA